rfam:Ictidomys tridecemlineatus contig082037, whole genome shotgun sequence.
UGGGUUGUGGCUCAGUGGCAGAGUGCUUGCCUUGCACAUGUGAGUCCCUGGGUUCAAUCCUCAGCACCACAU